CUGUGAUGUGAAAUGCACAGGCACAACUCCCUGCUGUGGGCCAAUAUAGACUACUGACUGUUGGAGAGGACCUUGGUGGGACUUCCUGCCCAGGCCAGGGGCAAAAAUCUCAUUCUGGUUCUGCCAAUGCUUCCUCUGGAGACUUUAAUGUGAAAAACUCAUCCCUAUCUACCAGGAAGUGCUAUGUAACCUUUACCAGUUGAAGAAGAAAAGGGCAUCUCUCUGAGUCUUCCUCAGAUGUGCAUUUGUCAUUCAUCUGGUGAUGCAUAUCAAAGAGAAAAACAUGGCAUAACAGGACCUAUAGAAGGUAAAGAGGGUUAAGACAUGGAGGAGCUUCUUCUGUGAUCAACAAGAUAGAUUGGAGUUAGGGAAGACAUCCUCAUAGGGGAGAUAUUCCAGGAGACAGGGAACCACGGCAUGCAGCACCACAUGCUUUCUAGUAAUGUAGGACAGACCUUUUUGCCUGUUAGUUCCUGGAAAUCAGGUCUCUGCAUCCCAUGGCUCAGCCUAGUCUGAUUCUGCUAAAUAAGGAUCGCUUCCCAUAGCUUAUAUCAGAGGAAAGUUGGUAAAUAAAAGAGUGGAGAGAAGAAGAGAGAACAAAGAAUAAGAAAGUUAAAUAUAACAGAAAACAAAAGAAAGAAAAAGAAGUAGGCAUACAUUGCGAAGGGAGGUAAACUCAGAUUAAACAUUAGAAAGGGGAAGAGCACAGCAUUAGAAAAAGUUGUGAGUUUCCUCUAACAACACAAGUCUGAGAGACAGAGUAAAAUUUUCCAACAGUCAUUUUCUUUAUCAACAAUGGAAAGUAAUUAAAAAAUGCAUGCCAGAUCAUGCAGUGCUAUAUUUGGUUUGCAAUAAAUAAAUAUAAACACAAUGAUCCACCAUAAAUGUAUGCAAUUUAUUGCUAUGUGAAAGUUUCUGAUUUCCUAGAAAUGUAAAUAUGGUGCAGGAUAAUAUCAUCUGGAAAUGAAAAAAGGUAGGACUAUUAUGAAAGGAUCAGUAAAGUAUACCCUGAUAAAAUGUUCACUGAAAGAUAAUAAGUACUAAUACAUCUACAAUUUGGGAAACAAAAUAGGAGGAUUUCAAAUAGGCAAGUUAUGUUAGAGGAACUGGUAAAAGAGUAGCUAUACCCAAGAAUGCUCAAACUUUACUUAAUCCAAUUUUGGUGACCAUGUUCAAAAUUCACAUUGUACUCAAUAGGUUUUUGCAUCCAUGUUUCUAAAACAUUUAAGGAUGUUUCCAAUGUGACUGAUCCAUGAACCGCAUUCUGAUUUGCAAGAGAGGUAACUGCCUUGAGGAAGUCUAAAUGAAGAGCUGUUGCAAGUUAAUUCAGUCAUAAGCAGAUGCAGUGAAAACACAAAUUUUUUUUAUUCUGAGCAUAUCUCUGGGGAAAGAAAAAGGAUAAAAACAAGGAAGAUACAAAAAUUAUAUUCCUAGGCAAUGAAGUACAUUGACACAACUGAAAUCACAAUGAACCAAGAGACUGGGAUAGGAGGAUCACAAGUUCUAGGCCAGCCUCAGCAAAGAGUGAAGCCAUAGCAAUUUAACAAGAAGUUAUCUCAGAAAUAAAUAAAUAAAUGUCAGUCAGUUAUUAAGAAAGUAAUUAAUGCUGAAGAUGAAGCUCAUUCAUAUAGGUCUCCUGAGUUAGAUAUCUAGUAACAAAUAUAUGUAUUUUAAUGUACAACUACUGAAAAGGAAGAAAUUGUAAUAGGAAUAAUUGAAGACCAAGAUCUAUGAAUUGCUUUUGAAUACCUAAUAGGAAAGGGAAAUGAACUGGGUAACUCUGGAAAUAAAUGCAAAGGAAAGAAGAGGAAGCAUUCCAGUUGGCCCAGCUUCUUAAAAUUUGUUCAUUUAAUUAAACUUGUUUCUAUACAGGUCACUGAAAAUUGUCUAUCCUCUGUAUUUCUGGAAACACUCCCUCCAUUCAGGCCUGCAUAAAUGUCACACUGCUCUGUUGCCUUCUCAUUAUUCAUCUGUAUUCUCACAAAGGCCCUUCAUGUCUACCAGCCACAGCAUUGAUAUUGAUCUAGCUAUCCUGCAUAUGCAGCCAUCAGCCUUUAUCCCUUUUCCUGCCUGUGCUGUUCUCUGUCAUUACUUCUCACAUAUCCCUAUAUGGUCAUACAAAUACAGGUCCAUUUGGUGCUUUUCUCUGUGUCAUGCUACAGCCUUCCCUGUUCUUACCAUUUUCUGCCUCUGGAUGAUAGUUUCACUCCUUAAGCCUCUCUUCAUACCAACCUCCAGAAAAGGUACCUUUUUUCUCAUCUAAUUCUUACAAAUAACUUAUUCAGUUAUUGGUUCAGUAAUUUAGAACUGUUGACACCAUGGUGAUAUAAAAAAAUCCCCCAAAAUCUGGGAGUAUAUUUAUUAGAUUUGUUCAGAUUUGUUUUUUUCAGUGCUGGGGGUUGAACCCAGGGCCUUGUGCUUGCAAGGCAAGCACUCUAUGGACUGAGCUACCUCCCAAGCCCUGUACAGAAAAUUUUUACAGGUAAAUUUGUUAGGUCCUAGGUAGAAUAGUUGCUGGGUUACUAAGGUAGCCCCAUGAAAGAAAAACCCUAUAUCAGGAAGGAUAACCAUAGCCCUGAAGGACUGAAAAAAUACUUUGACCCCUAAAAGAAGAAAAUUGAUUCAUCAGAGUAGUGGAAAAAACAUUUUAGAUAUGAAGGUAUUAAUUGACAAAUGAGUAAGAAGUAUAAGUCAUUAAGAAAACAAUACUGAUAAACAGAGCAUGUUGAAAGUUAUUAUUAUGAAAAGAAGAGCAAACUGUACAUUUGGAUAUUUUGUGGGUAUUUUUAAAAAUUUAUUUCUGGGAACUUUCAAUUUUUCUGGAAGGAUAAUUUUUUGUGUUGUUUUUAUCAUUAAGCCUGUUCACAUGUAGUUUUUCCGUGAUGAGUUUUGAAGUUCUUAAGAAGGAAAAGCUUGCAUAGCCCAGUAAAUAUCAGCUGGGUAUAGUUGGUCACAGAUAAACAUAGCCUCUUAGGAGGCUGAGAGAGGUGAAUGAUUGAUGACACCCUGAACAAUUAAGAGCGGUUCUGUCUCAAAGAAAAAUAGGUUUGGUGCUGGGGUCCAGCCCUAACAGGAGUCCAUGGGUUCCACACAGCUAAAUGGGGUGCAGAGAGACAGCAUCGGCAAUGGAUAGAGAAUGAAAGACACAGACUCUAGUUCUGGUGCAAUCACUCCCACUUUAUUCUCGGGAAGUCUGG